UGUCCAGCCACUCCCUGGCCCUCCUGGAGCAGCCCGACCCAGAGUGCGAGCCCCCCUAGUGGCCCUGAUGACGUGGUGACCACUCCGACCGGCAGGGGUGGAAAAUGGUACCUGUCAACCCCGAGCCGGAGGAGCCCGCGGCCGCAGCCCCGACAUGGAGGAGCCCACGCCGGAGCCCGUGUACGUGGAUGUCGACAAAGGGCUGACCCUGGCCUGCUUCGUCUUCCUCUGCCUCUUCCUCGUGGUGAUGAUCGUUCGCUGCGCCAGGGUCAUCAUGGACCCUUACAGCGCCAUCCCCACGUCCACCUGGGAGGAGCAGCACCUGGACGACUGAGGCGCCGGCACGGGGGCCUCCAUGUGACCACCGGCCAGCCAGCCGGCAGACGCGGGAAUGGGUUUGGCUGUGGAUGGAGGGGUCACCGGAGCCGCACCUGCUCCCUCUCGAGCACCAGAGUGAGGCGCCACGGGGGUCCGUGGUGGGCCAGCCUGGAGAGGAGAGCACUGGCCCCGGAGUCAGGAGGCCGGUCGGGGCUGGGGAGUCACUGUGGGACGAUGGGGGGGGGUCCUGUCGCCUCGCUCCUGUGCACCUUCUGGGACUGGGUCCAGGGCAGACCCCCGCCGUCACACAACAGCGCUCUCAUGGUGAGGACACUGUCUGCCCUUAAAAUGCAAAACGGCACACGCACGAGCCGUGGCAGCUCCCGGCACAGAGCACAGACGACCCGCGAUCCCCAGCCGGUCCCGCUGGGCAGCCGCGGGGCGGUGGCGAAGGCGGAGGCGGAUGGAAGGGGCCUCACCCCACCUUCUCGCCAGGCACAGGCCUGCUUCCCAGCAGUAUUUUUUUAAGCUAAAACAUAGAGGGGUCUAUUUUUCCUGUCAUAAACGAAAUGCGCAUUUUGGGAAUUUGGGAACACACAGAAAAAUAGAAGGAAAGGGGGAAAAUAACACUUACGAUCCCACCUCCCCAAAGCCGCCAGUUUGAUACACUUCUCCCAAGCUUUUUUUACACAUCUUUUUAAAUGGUCACGUUCACGCCGUACGCACGAUGUCGCAUCCCUUGGUAGCAGAGCAUGGACACUUUCCUGUCCCAUCACAACCAUCGUCUGAGCGAGGUCAUGGCUCCAUCAGCGUCGCCUCUGGCCGCACAGUUCAAUCUGUUUGCUGACUUCCCCGCACACAACGUUCUUCCAUGCCGUAUAGUCUCUCAGAUGUGCACACGCUGCAGGGGAAGCACUGGACCAGGAGCCCUGGGUCUCGUCCUCCGUCACCCAAAGACUGUGUGGCCGUGAGCAAGUCCCGCCCCCUCUGCGUGCCUCAGUCCCCUCGUGUCACAACGAGGUGGAAGAGCCUUGCCUUCUUUGUUUUGUGCGAGGCUCCUGUGGCUAAAAGGACAGGAGGGGGCUGGUGGGGGGCAGGGACAGUUUGCUGAUAGUGACUGUUCUUGGGGUCUCCUCCUCUCCCGUCACCUCCCUCGGCGACCUUGCAGCAAGAACAUGGAGCCCACCACGCUGGUCCCAAGUCCCAGCUCCUUUACCUUCUGCUCUAUCACCCCAGAUAAUAGCCUCUCUGAGCCCCAGUUCCCUCAUGUGUAGCGUGAGGGAACCAUGUCUACCUCACAAGGUUGUUGUGAGGAUGGAAUGAAGGAACAUGGGCCGACAUCGGUGUCCUUCCUUGACUCCACCCCCCAGGAGAAGCCAGGGGUCUGAGCCGGGAGGGGCACAGGUUCCAGAAUCCCCCUCCCAGCAGAGCCUGGAAGCCCGGACUUUCCUCAACCUCCCAGGGCCACUUGCUGGGCCAAAUCUCCCAGCCAGGACCCCUGGUCAGAGGGACACUCACAGCAACCUCU
ensembl:lncRNA